AUAAAUGUUAAUAAAUCCGGUUUGCUGUCGUUGUGACAGCCUCUUGUUGCAGAAUACAUUGAAUUAUUUUUAUCUUUUGCCUGUGUCAAAUUGUACUACCAUUACACAUUUCCUUUGGUUUACGAUCAUUAUUACUAACAGAUCUAGUUGCCCUCAGAAAUCAGGCAAACACUAAUGUGUACACCUGUUCUGGGCUAUUGACAACCUUAUGCAGGAAAAAGUCGAAAAGUUAUUAAAAUGAAUUUUACAAUGUCAUGUUAUUCUAAAUAUAAAAAGUUGAAUGAAUGUUUAAGCAGCAGGUCUGUUAGAUAAUAGGUUUGUCAUUUUUGUUAGCGUAGAGAUAUAGCUCAGGACCAAAUAAGAAUUGUCAAUGACUGUUAAUGUAACAUUGAGCAAAAAAUGUGAGAAUUUAAAACUGGAAGGUUUUUUUUCCAGUUUUAAUUGAAAGUGCUAUUAAAAGGGUACUUACUACAAUAUUAUUGUAAGAUAUUUUUUUAUGAGGUUUUUUUUUUUUUUUUUUUAUAUAUUGCUGGAAAAUCUUUAGUUUUUCAAUUUGAUUAAUUGUUUUAUGAUUUCUUUUAACUUAAUUAUUGUGUUAAUGAAAAAUGGCAAACCAGAUAUUUGACUGGUGUUUCUUAUACCUCUGUGCAAAGAUGGAUAUAUAUAUAUAUA
rnacentral:lncRNA from 1 species